AUUGAACGCUGGCGGCAGGCCUAACACAUGCAAGUCGAGCGCGCGGCGGACGGGUGAGUAAUGUAUGUGGACUGCCCGCUAGAGGGGGAUCACUACUGGAAACGGUAGCUAAUACCCCAUACUCUCGGAUGACGCCUAUGGGAUUAGCUAGUAGGUGAGGGAAUGGCGCACCUAGGCGACGAUACCUAUCUCGUCUGAGAGGAUGAUCAGCGACACUGGGACGGAGAAACGGCCCAGACUCCUACGGAGGCAGCAGUGGGGAAUAUUGCACAAUGGGUGCAAGCCUGAUGCAGCGACGCCGCGUGGGGGAUGAAGGCUUUCGGGUUGUAAACCUCUUGCGCUAUCGAACGGGUAGGUGGAGAAGAAGCGCCGGCUAACUACGUGCCAGCAGCCGCGGUAAUUC
rnacentral:rRNA from 1 species